rnacentral:rRNA from 1 species
UACGUAGGGCGCAAGCGUUAUCCGGAAUUAUUGGGCGUAAAGAGCUCGUAGGCGGUUUGUCGCGUCUGCCGUGAAAGUCCGGGGCUCAACUCCGGAUCUGCGGUGGGUACGGGCAGGCUAGAGUGUGGUAGGGGAGAUCGGAAUUCCUGGUGUAGCGGUGAAAUGCGCAGAUAUCAGGAGGAACACCGGUGGCGAAGGCGGGUCUCUGGGCAGUAACUGACGCUGAGGAGCGAAAGCGUGGGGAGCGAACAGG